rnacentral:rRNA from 1 species
GAUGAACGCUGGCGGCGUGCCUAAUACAUGCAAGUCGAGCGAACAGAUGAGGAGCUUGCUCCUCUGACGUUAGCGGCGGACGGGUGAGUAACACGUGGAUAACCUACCUAUAAGACUGGGAUAACUUCGGGAAACCGGAGCUAAUACCGGAUAAUAUAUUGAACCGCAUGGUUCAAUAGUGAAAGACGGUUUUGCUGUCACUUAUAGAUGGAUCCGCGCCGCAUUAGCUAGUUGGUAAGGUAACGGCUUACCAAGGCAACGAUGCGUAGCCGACCUGAGAGGGGGAUAGGCCACACUGGAACUGAGACACGGUCCAGACUCCUACGGGAGGCAGCAGUAGGGAAUCUUCCGCAAUGGGCGAAAGCCUGACGGAGCAACGCCGCGUGAGUGAUGAAGGUCUUCGGAUCGUAAAACUCUGUUAUUAGGGAAGAACAAAUGUGUAAGUAACUAUGCACGUCUUGACGGUACCUAAUCAGAAAGCCACGGCUAACUACGUG